UACGGAGGAUGCAAGCGUUAUCCGGAUUCAUUAGGUAUAAAGGGUGCGUAGGCGGAUUUGUAAGUCAGUGGUGAAAUACUAUAGCUUAACUAUAGAACUGCCAUUGAUACUGCAAGUCUUGAGUACAAUUGAGGUAGGCGGAAUGUGUGGUGUAGCGGUGAAAUGCUUAGAUAUCACACAGAACACCGAUUGCGAAGGCAGCUUACUAAACUGUAACUGACGCUGAUGCACGAAAGCAUGGGGAG
rnacentral:rRNA from 1 species